rnacentral:rRNA from 1 species
GACAAACCGUCCAAACGUUGUUCGGAAUCACUGGGCUUAAAGGGCGCGUAGGCGGGUUGGCAAGUCUGUGGUGAAAUCCUCCAGCUUAACUGGAGAAGUGCCGUGGAUACUGCGAAUCUUGAGGAGGGUAGGGGCGUCUGGAACGGUCGGUGGAGCGGUGAAAUGCGUUGAUAUCGACCGGAACUCCGGUGGCGAAGGCGAGGCGCUGGACCCUUUCUGACGCUGAGGCGCGAAAGCCAGGGGAGCAAACGGG